rnacentral:ncRNA from 1 species
CAACCUCAACUCAUAUGGGACUACCCCCUGAAUUUAAGCAUAUUAAUUAGGGGAGGAAAAGAAACUAACAAGGAUUUUCUUAGUAGCGGCGAGCGAAAAGAAAUCAGUUCAGCACUAAGUCACUUUGUCUAUAUGGCAAAUGUGAGAUGCAGUGUACGGAACAUCAACAUUCUAGUAUGAGAAGUUAACGAUUUAAGUCCUUCUUAAAUGAGGCCAUUUACCCAUAGAGGGUGCCAGGCCCGUAUAACGUUAAUGAUUACUAGAUGGUGUUUCCAAAGAGUCGUGUUGCUUGAUAGUGCAGCACUAAGUGGGUGGUAAACUCCAUCUAAAACUAAAUAUAACCAUGAGACCGAUAGUAAACAAGUACCGUGAGGGAAAGUUGAAAAGAACUCUGAAUAGAGAGUUAAAUAGUACGUGAAACUGCUUAGAGGUUAAGCCCGAUGAACCUGAAUAUCCGUUAUGGAAAAUUCAUCAUUAGAAUUGUAAUAUUUUAAACAAUAUUAUAAUAAUAGUGUGCAUUUUUUCCAUAUAAGGACAUUGUAAUCUAUUAGCAUAAAUAUUUAUCAUAAAAUUAUGUCUGAUUGCUUAUUUGAAUUAUAUGCUUGGCAUUUUAACAUAAAAUAAAAGAUAUAAAUUUGAUAAAGUGCUGAUAGAUUUAUAUGAUUACA